rnacentral:rRNA from 1 species
CAGGCCUUGACAUGGGGAGUAUGGGUUUCCGAAAGGAGAUCCUUCAGUUCGGCUGGCUCCCACACAGGUGCUGCAUGGCUGUCGUCAGCUCGUGUCGUGAGAUGUUGGGUUAAGUCCCGCAACGAGCGCAACCCUCGUCUUCAGUUGCCAUCAGGUCAAGCUGGGCACUCUGAAGAAACCGCCGGUGACAAGCUGGAGGAAGGUGGGGAUGACGUCAGGUCCUCAUGGCCCUUACGGCCUGGGCUACACACGUGCUACAAUGGCGGUGACAGUGGGAUGCAAAGGGGCGACCUGGAGCAAAUCCCCAAAAGCCGUCUCAGUUCGGAUUGCACUCUGCAACUCGAGUGCAUGAAGGCGGAAUCGCUAGUAAUCGCGGAUCAGCACGCCGCGGUGAAUACGUUCUC